AGCAACGCAAUUGCUCAAAUAUCCAAGCUAGGCUGUGUGGAUGAAAAAGUCUCUGUUCUUCAUUUGUUCACUUUUUUUUUUUUUACCUGCAGGCAUUGCAGUGUGGAUCUGCCAGGAUAAGAAAGGAAAACUGGCCUUUUUUUGGGAAAUGAGACCUCUCCUGCCACUUGCUAAUCAGCUGAAUGAACAGAUGAACUAGGUCUGGUUGCUGCUGCUUUUGGCGCUGGUGCUUUCUCAGUGUCACCAUGGUCUCUGACACCUCAGAUGAGGAAGCUCUGUCAAGGCUGCAGGCAUUUUCUUGGAGGUCACAAGUGGACCCUCUGUGCCCAUCACUUGCCACCUUAUAUGCGUGAUGCAGAUGAUCAUAACAGCUGUAAAAAUUAAAGAUGAGACUGGAAGGAGCCGUCAACUGAAAGGAAAGGAAUUAUCCCAGAAGUCUUCCCUGCUCCUCUUCUGGGAGCCAACGAACUGGCUGCCCAUUGGAUGGAAAAGCUUUGCAUUCUGAUUGGGCCUCUCAGGCUUCUGAGAGCAUUUGCACGGGGAGAGAUUGCUCCCUGCUCUCCCCAGGGAUUCUGCGGCCAUUUCACCUACAGCUGUGUGGCCCUGUGUGGUUUAUAAAGCACUUUAAAUCCUGAGCUGGGCGUCAGGAAGCCUGUGUUCUGUUAGCAACUCUGUCAGUCACUCCACUGCUCUGGGCCUGAGACUCCUCAUGAGGAAAACAUGGAGAUUACUAGAGUGAGUGUUUGCUGUGAGUAGAAUUGUGUGCCCUCGAAAAAAGAUAUGUUACAAUCCGGACCCCCAGGACCUCGGAAUGUGACUUUCUUUGGAGACGGGGUGUUUGCAGAGGUAAUGAAGUUAAAAUGACAUCGUUUGGGUGGGCUCAACUCCAAUGUGAUGGGUGUCCUUACAAAAAGGGGAAAUUUGCAGAGAGAGACACCCAUGGAGGGAAGAUGAAAUAAAGACAUAAGGAGAGGGCAGCCAUCUUCAAGCCAAGGAGAGAGGCCACAGAAGGAAGCAACCCUCCCAACACCUUGAUCUCAGACUUCCAACCUCCAGAACUGUGAGGCAAUCCGUUUCUGCUGUUUAAACCAUCCAGCCUGUGGUCCUUGUCACAACAACCCUAGCAAGCUAAUAUGAUGUCCUUAAGCUUUUUCGAGCCAUGAACCCCUUUGAUGGUCUAGCGUUAACCCUGGAUCCCUUCUCAGAAUAAUGCUCAAAUGGAAAAAAUAAAUACAUCAGAUUACAAAGGAAA